rnacentral:tRNA from 1 species
GGGUGAUUAGCUCAGCUGGGAGAGCACCUCCCUUACAAGGAGGGGNGUUAGUCGCCAUCCGGCA